GUGUGUUAGUGUUUUUGUCAGUGUGUGUAUCUAUGUGCCACUAUGUGCCGGUGGGUAUCUGUGUGUCAGUGUGUAUGUAUCUGACACACAUAUACACACACUGGCACAUAGUGGCACACACUGGCACAUAGAUACACACACACUGACAGAAUAAU